ACCCACCUCGGGACUUCCCAGGCCUCCUGGCUGCGCCGCAGACCCUCCCCGUCCCAGAUCCCGCCAGGGCCCACUCGGGCUCCAGCCGCUGCCUGGGACAGCCAAAGGCCGGCCCGGGCGGUUCUUCCCCAGGUGGUCCGGGGCGUCCCGGGCCGCACUGGCCUGGCCCAUGGGCCCCGAAGAAGGCGCUCACCCAAGGACCACUGUCCGAGCGGCUUCCCCCGGCCCGGCCUGGUGCCGCGUCCCCACCAGCCCGGGGUGGCAGGUUCUACUCGGGAAGCCUGUUUUAUGUCUUCUUUCACGCCCAUAUCACACCGACAAGGGUGAAGCUGUGGAACUUAUACCUCGGCUGGGCCCCGCCGCCAACUCCUAGGGCACGGGAACUGCGCACAGGCCGGGGUUCCGCGAGGGGCGGAGCUUCCCGCUCUGCCCUCGGGCAGGUGAGCCGGAGCCUGGCACGUGGGCCUGGGUGUCCUGACAGCCCUGGCCCCCGCCGCCUCUGUACCAGGGAGAGCGCCUGGAAGGCGCCGCUGCCUCUCUCUCCCUACGUGCCCACCUGCCUCUAGGAACUGAUGGCCAUAUCUGGAUGUAAACAAAACAUUGGAGCGAGUCAUUCCAGCUAAGACCGCUAAUACAAUGCUGGAUAGAAGUGGUGAUCACAGACAGUCUUGUUACUCAUUUGAAAGGGAAAGCCUUCAGUGUCUCAACACUAGAAGAAUUUCCACUACUGUGAACUUCCUGGCCUCUUACCAGAACCAAAUUAUCUGAUUUGAGGAUUUAAAAGAAGGAAACAGGCAUGCUUGGCUCAGCCUCUGUCUUUCUGGCUCUGCCUUUCUGCAGUGAGGAUGCAUCUUUUCUUGCUCACCUGCCAAUGCUAAAAGAAGACUUUAUGGGCUAGUGACAUGGAAGGUUUGUGUUGAUUCUGAUCUGCCUUUGACUGGAUGGAUAAGUUGAAUUCCAUAAUUCAGUAUUAGAAAACUCACUUGGCUCACAGCUACACCAUGUCCCCUAAUGUAACUUUUAUCAGCAAUAGCACUAUAGAGUAACAAAGUAACAGAUGAUGACCAUAUGUCUGACUCUAGUAUUUCUCUAUCAAAUGGUUCUGAGCUUGGGCAGGAAUGAAAAUGUAUUUACUGACAUCUCAAAAUGAUUAUAAUCACAAUACUGGGCCAUCCUGACCAUUUAUCAGAAGUCCAGAAGUCAAGAUUCCGUGGUCGGAAAUCUCUUUUGACCACCAGCAGAAGAAAAUAAAAAAGUCUGAAGCAACUGUAAAACAUACCUUUUUCCUCCAACGUAACCAAGAAGACUCGUCCUACUUUGUGUACCCACAAAAGCUACAAGAUCCAUCAACAGAAAUUAGUUUAUGAAAUCUAGAAUUGUGGGAAUGACAUUAAAGAGUCUCAGUGAAUUACUUCUUAGAUUGAAAUUUAAGAUUUUCCUGACCAUGCUCCCAGAGUAUCACCCCUUAACAAGAAGGCUCUUCAUUUAUAUGGUAUGAUGUCCAAAAAAUGGCUAUCAUUCUUUUAAAUCAUAUAAAAGUAUUAAUGAAAGUAUUAAAAGUUUUAUUUCAAUAAUUUGCUUCAGUGAAACCAUUAAAACUGUAGAAUAUAACUUUGAUAUUUAAAUAUUUUAAAUAUUAAUGGUUACCUUUACCACUGCUAUUAUUGUGAUCAACCAGCUUCUAUUUGUAGAAGAGUUAAAAGAGGUUAAAUGUCUUGCAAUGCAAUGACAUAAAUGUCAUGCAACACUACAAUGACAGAAUCUAAGACAAACAAAAAUUUAAAAUAUUUCUCUUAAUACUUUCUAUUAAAAAUAUUCUGAGCCAUUCUGCUGUUACAGGACACAUUUGUAAUAAAGUUCAUUUUAUUAUACUCC
rnacentral:lncRNA from 1 species